rnacentral:rRNA from 1 species
UACGAAGGGUGCUAGCGUUGUUCGGAAUUACUGGGCGUAAAGCGCGCGUAGGCGGCUUUUCAAGUCAGGGGUGAAAUCCCACAGCUCAACUGUGGAAUUGCCUUUGAAACUGUAAAGCUUGAGUGUCGGAGGGGAUAGCGGAAUUGCUAAUGUAGAGGUGAAAUUCGUAGAUAUUAGCAGGAACACCGGUGGCGAAGGCGGCUAUCUGGACGACAACUGACGCUGAGGCGCGAAAGCGUGGGGAGCAAACAGG